AGAAUCAACGCUGGCGGCGUGCCUAACACAUGCAAGUCGCACGAGAAAGGGGAGCAAUCCCUGAGUAAAGUGGCGCACGGGUGAGUAACACGUGAAUCAUCUACCUCCGAGUGGGGAAUAACCUAGAGAAAUCUGGGCUAAUACCGCAUAACACUUACGAGUCAAAGCAGCAAUGCGCUUGGAGAGGAGUUCGCGGCCGAUUAGCUAGUUGGCGGGGUAAUGGCCCACCAAGGCGAUGAUCGGUAUCCGGCCUGAGAGGGCGCACGGACACACUGGAACUGAAACACGGUCCAGACUCCUACGGAGGCAGCAGUGGGGAAUUUUGCGCAAUGGGGAAACCCUGACGCAGCAACGCCGCGUGGAGGAUGAAAUAUCUUGGUAUGUAAACUCCUUUCGAUGGGAAGAUUAUGACGGUACCAUAGAAGAAGCCCGGCUAACUUCGCGCCAGCAGCCGC
rnacentral:rRNA from 1 species